rnacentral:lncRNA from 1 species
AUGAAAACAUCUAAGCUUGUCUCAAAUAUAUCAAUCUUUUCAAUAGGGAGAGGGUACAAGAAGAGAGGGGGAAAAAAGGGUUUCAUCCGAUUCUGUUUUUUGUUUUGUUUUAGGUUUUCCAUAAUAUUUUGUGAAUUAGGGACGAUCCAGUGCCUACAUGCCCCUAGCUUUUGGAAACGAAGCCCGCACCGCCUUCUCUGCAGGCUUUGGAGGUGGAACUCCUCUGGAUGCAAGGCUCCUCCAACACUAUUGCCUCUCGUGCACACUUAUUCUAAGGGGUUCCCUCGAAGACAGGCUUACUAUUUGAAGCUACCUUACCGGAUCAAAGGACCACACUCGCUCACUUGCACUAGGAGAGAUCUCCAGGAAUUUAAGGUCGGGAUCCAAACCACGGUGAGCAACCAGGAGGACUGGACCUUCUGCGGGGAGUUCAUUUACAGAGAAAUCUCCAUCCUCCACCUCCCCUGACCCCUCCCCACUUACUCUUGCCUAAGUUAAAAAAAAUAAAAUAAAAUCAACGUUCA